rnacentral:tRNA from 1 species
CGGGGCGUGGCUCAGUUUGGAUUAGAGCGCUUGAAUGGGGUUCAAGAGGUCGGUGGUUCAAGUCCACUCGCCCCGA